CUUGUUGUCAGUGGGGUCCCUAUGGGGUUAAUGGGGUCCUUAUGGGGUCAAUGGGGUCCCUAUGGGGAUAAUGGGGUCCUUAUGGAGUCCAAAUGGAGUUAAUGGGGUCCCUAUGGGGUUUAUGGUGGUCUUUAUGGGGUUUAUGGGGGUCCUUACGGGGUCAAUGGGGUGCCUAUGGGGUCUAUGGGGUCCCUAUGGGGUUGAUUGGGUUCUUAUGUCCCUAUGGGGUCCAAUGGGGUCCCUAUGAGCUCCCCCCCACUAGCCCUUUGGCCCCGCCCACGCCCGGCUCUCAUCCAAUUCGCAGAGCUCCGUUUCCUUUUAAGCUCCGCCCUCCUCCUGGCAGUUCCCAAUUGCGCAAGCGCACUCCAACCGGAAGAGGCUUUUCUGGGCGCCGCCAUAUUGUGUCCGAUCCGCUUCCGCACUGCCCGGCUGGACGUGCCGGCAGCCGGCCGGCUCCACGGCCAUGUCCGAGACUUACGAUUUCCUAUUCAAGUUCCUGGUGAUCGGCAGCGCCGGGACGGGGAAAUCCUGCCUGCUUGCUGCACCCACUUCAUCGAGAGCAAGUGUGAGCAAUUAUACAUUAUUAAUUAGGGCCGUAAUUAAUUAUAUUAGGGGGGUUUGGACAUUAAGGGCGGUAGAGGGGGA
rnacentral:lncRNA from 1 species